GACGAACGCUGGCGGCGUGCCUAACACAUGCAAGUCGAGCGGAAAUAAUUAAAGUUUACUUUGAUUAUUUUAGCGGCGGACGGGUGAGUAACACGUGGGCAACCUGCCCUUGAGAGGGGGAUAACACAGAGAAAUUUGUGCUAAUACCGCAUAACAUUUAGACUUCGCCUGGAGUUUAAAUCAAAGGAGUAAUCCGCUCAAGGAUGGGCCCGCGGCGCAUUAGCUAGUUGGUGAGGUAAUGGCUCACCAAGGCGACGAUGCGUAGCCGACCAGAGAGGGUGAUCGGCCACAUUGGAACUGAGACACGGUCCAGACUCCUACGGGAGGCAGCAGUGGGGAAUAUUGCGCAAUGGGGGAAACCCUGACGCAGCAACGCCGCGUGAGCGAUGAAGGCCUUCGGGUUGUAAAGCUCUGUCUUUGGGGACGAUAAUGACGGUACCCAAGGAGGAAGCCACGGCUAACUACGUGCCAGCCGCCGCGGUAAGAC
rnacentral:rRNA from 1 species